GUUUGCACUCAUCGGGGAAGGGUGAGAACCUUCGACUAAGGUUCGACUCGAGCGAAAGCGAGAGAACGUUGCCACAGGCAACGGCCCGAAGGGUGAGGAGCGAAGCGACGAAUAAUCCUUCCCCCACCAACA
rnacentral:sRNA from 1 species